rnacentral:rRNA from 1 species
ACAAUGACUCUCGGCAACGGAUAUCUCGGCUCUCGCAUCGAUGAAGAACGCAGCGAAAUGCGAUACAUGGUGUGAAUUGCAGAAUCCCGUGAAUCAUCGAGUUUUUGAACGCAAGUUGCGCCUGAGACCUCUAGGUUGAGGGCACGCCUGCCUGGGUGUCAUG